UUUCUAUGUGCUCUGCCAAGAAGGGAAGGUUAUGAGUUUUUUGUAGGACAAUGGACAGGUACUGAACUCCACUUCACUGCACUUAUAAAUAUUCAGACCCGAGGGGAAGCUGCAGCCAGCCAGCUGAUUUUAUAUCACUAUCCUGAACUUAAGGAAGAAAAGGGCAUAGUGCUGAUGACUGCAGAAAUGGAUUCCACAUUUCUGAAUGUUGCUGAGGCACAGUGCAUCGCCAACCAAGUUCAGCUCUUCUACGCUACUGAUCGGAAAGAGACCUACGGAUGGGCCCAGUUAUUAGCCAUACAUAGUACAUUGAUACACCUCCACCAGCGGGUGAGGAAAUGAUGGAAAAAGGAGUAAGAAGUGGCCAUUCGUUUUAAUCAUUCCUCCUGGAUUUGUCCUCAGUCCCCAACUGCCAAGUAGGAUGUGUCC
rnacentral:lncRNA from 1 species